UAGCUAAAGUAAAUAUAUUUUAGUAAAAAGUAACAAACGAAUAACGCAGCUUUAAUUUUAAAGAAUACUUAAAAAAAUAUAGCAAUUACAUUUUUUGUGUAAUUACGUAAUAUGUCGUUUUAAAAAGAUGUAUUUAAUGUGUACGAGAGCAUUCGUUACACAUUCAAACCUAAUUAAAAAGAGAACUCUACAAGACGGUUAAAAGGUAGUUUUGUUGGAGCAGCGGAUCUUUUACUCCACGUCGGUGUGUGUAACUAUCUCUCUCUCUCGAUCAUUACUUAACUUUGUUUGUUGCAUGAACGAAUGAAGAUAAAGUUUUUAAGUAAUUCUAUGUUAAAACUCUGAAAUAAAUAUAUAAAGCACAACGAUUACACAGCCUCAAUAUAAUAUUAAGAUCAUAAAUCACCGUGCUGAGGGCAUAGCUAUGUCAGUUUAAACAACCCGGUGGGAAAUAUACCACGAAAAGUAAGAGAGAGCUGCUAGAUGGUGUGAGUUGGUGUGUGUGUACAAAUAAUGUACUGAACACAAAGACGACGACACGACACGACGUAGCGACGGCUGAUUACCAAUGUCGCUUUGAAGCCAGCGUCUUGAACAUUUUGAAGACGGCAGCGACAUAUCAAACAGCAAUUUCAUUGUUGCCGUACUAAAAUCUUUCACUUCAAUAAAAUUUACAUAUUUAGUUUAAAGUGGAAUUAUUUGUGGAAAAAUUGUAAAAAUUAGUGAUUUAUUUGUUUUAAAUAAUCGAUUGUUAUUAUAAAUGAUAUUUGAUAAAGCUAUUUUACGUUUCUGUUGGCAAAAUAACGUCAUAAUUGUGAGAACUUUGAAUAAUUUUACAUUUCACAUAUCAGUGACAGCUCUACAGCGACCAUUGUCGUCGGCAAAAUUGGAAACAUUUCUAAUUUGGCGGCAGCGAAGACUUCAACUCUUUUGUGGUGAAGUCGUGCUGUUGUCUAAAAAUCUGUGCCGAUAAGAACGCGUGUUUUUUAAUAUUUGACAGAUGUCGCUCGUCGCUUGUCGUCGUCUAUGUGUUCAGCACUUAAAUGUUUUAGAAAACUAAUAUUGUAAACAGUUAUUGAACGCACUUCGUACACCAUAAAUUUAUAAACUAUUGGACAGCAAUUUGGUACGUUGGACAACCUGUUAUGGAACAUGGAUUUUAAGUGAAACCAUGUUACCUUACGCGGAAUUUAAUACACCUCUUCGAUGCGUGUUGCAUCAAUAUAAUGACCCAAAACACUAAUCAAAGUAGGUAAAGGAAUGAUUCAGACAAAAUAGUAUUAAAGUUUAAAGAUGGCCUCCGCAAUCGCCAGACCUUAAUCCGAUAGAAAAUUAAUGGAGAGAGUUUGAAGUGUCUCCAAGAUGCUAAAAUCCAUCUAAUAAAGAUGAUUUGUGGAAGCUGUGGGAAAAAAUUUCUGCUGUUAUGUGCCAGAAUUUAGUGAAUGCUUCGCUCAAAUUUUGUUCAGCAGUUAUAAAAAACAUUGGAUACUACACUAAAAUUAAAGCAAGCAAGAUUAAAGUAAUCAUUUAAUUAAUAUCUUAAUAUAUAAUACAUGCGUUGUUUAUCUUUUACCAAUAAAAAGAACGAAAAAAACCAAAUGUAUUGAUUAUUAUUUCAUUGCACAUCACUGUAUGUACGAGCGAGGUGCAAUAAGUACAUAUUCUACAAAAGAAAAACGAAUAUUUUGGAAAAAAUUCACUUCGUGGCUAUGGCCUUAUACCUUUAUAAUUCCACGAUUUAAAAAAUAAAAUGAAGUCUUUUGAGAUACUUACUGUCUAGAUAUCUCUAACAGUUUCAAUCGUGUUAGCUGGAAUGCCACUCCAUUGACACUCUUUAAAUCAACUUUUGAUACCACCCAUAGAAGGAGAAG